GGCGACGCGCCUUCCGAGUUCCCUGGAACGGGACGCCAUAGAGGGUGAGAGCCCCGUCUGGUUGGAUGCCGAGCCUCUGUAAAGCUCCUUCGACGAGUCGAGUAGUUUGGGAAUGCUGCUCUAAAUGGGAGGUAUAUGUCUUCUAAAGCUAAAUACCGGCCAGAGACCGAUAGCGCACAAGUAGAGUGAUCGAAAGAUGAAAAGCACUUUGAAAAGAGGGUUAAAUAGUACGUGAAAUUGUUGAAAGGGAAGCGCUUAUGACCAGACGUGGGCUCGGCGGAUCAUCCGGCGUUCUCGCCGGUGCACUUCGCCGGGUCCAGGCCAGCAUCGGUUCGCCGCGGGGGAGAAAGGCGUCGGGAACGUGGCUCCCUCGGGAGUGUUAUAGCCCGUCGCACAAUACCCUGGGGCGGACCGAGGUUCGCGCAUCUGCAAGGAUGCUGGCGUAAUGGUCAUCAGCGACCCGUCUUGAAACACGGACCAAGGAGUCGUCUUCGUAUGCGAGUGUUCGGGUGUCAAACCCCUACGCGUAAUGAAAGUGAACGCAGGUGAGAGCUUCGGCGCAUCAUCGACCGAUCCUGAUGUUCUCGGAUGGAUUUGAGUAAGAGCAUACGGGGCCGGACCCGAAAGAAGGUGAACUAUGCCUGUGUAGGGUGAAGCCAGAGGAAACUCUGGUGGAGGCUCGCAGCGGUUCUGACG
rnacentral:rRNA from 1 species